UUCCAGGCUGCGCAUGUGAACUUCGACUUCUGCCCCUGCCCAGGGCAGAGACCACCGUGUUGCUUUAUGCCUCGCUGGUGAGAGGGGGUCAUAAACAGUUUGUGCUCCAUGAACCCUUCCUGCCCGCCUCCGAGGUCAUGUUUCUGCUCCCUCUCUUCUCCCUUAGAGCCCGUGGGGACAAGGCAGAGAACUUGAGUGGAGAUGGAGGUGGUGAAUAUUAAAGGAACAAAGUGCUCCUUCAGGUCUGGGCAAGAGCCAUGGAUCCUGUAGGUCAGCUUCUGGGGCUUCCCAUGCCCUCACGUUUCAGGAGAUAACGUGAGC
rnacentral:lncRNA from 1 species